GCCCUUUCCAGUUACAAUGGCCUGAACAAAGAAUCCAAACAUCGAGAACAUUGCAAGCCUUCCAUUCUUGAUCUCCUUCACCUUCAACUCAGCGAAUGCAUCAGGAUCAUCUGCCAAUCCUAGAGGGUCGAAUGCUCCACCAGGGUAAAGUGGGUCAAGGCCUUCGCCAAGAGGUCCUCCUCCAACCCGGUAUCCUUCAAUUAAUCCCAUGAGCACAACCUAACAGCAGAAGAAGCAACUUAGGUUGAACAAUAACCAAGUUUCGCUUCUGGGGCGAGUAAAUAGUGAAGCAGUAUACAUACAUUCAUACAUACAUACAUACAUACAUACAUACAUAUAUAUGUAUAUUCUGACUUAUAUAGAAGCAAUAUGCUAGAAUGUUGUACUAAAUCUAAGAUACUGAAUUCAUUUAAACAGACCUUGUUAGCUGUUAUCCCUAAUAUUUGUUGGAAUGAAUCUCAUUGAACAUGAGAAAGGAUUGUUUCUUCUGAAUAAACUCCAAGGAAUUGUCAUGCCAUUUUCAAAUUACAUAUGCCAUUUAACCGACAAAAUAUAGGAUGCGGUCGUUGAAGACUAGAUUUAAUUAUCCUGUGAAAAUAAUUUUACUUAAGCAUAACACAGUUAAUCAUACCUGGCAGGCCCAGAUGGCAAGGAUGCUCUGUGCAUGGAUGAGGUUGGGGUUGCCCAAGUAGUCAAGACCGCCUUCAGAGAAGAUCUGCGCUCCAGCCUUGAACCAGACGGCCUCGCCGAACUUGACACCAUUCUUCUGGAGGAUCUCGGGGAAGACGCACCCGAGGGCACCGAGCAUGGCCCACCUGCAAUGGAUGACUUCAAGCUCACGGUUCUUGGCGAACGUCUCGGGGUCUGCAGACAAACCAGCAGUGUCCCAGCCAUAGUCACCGGGGAAUUCACCAGUCAAGUAGGACGGGGUCUGCUCCGAGAAAGGGCCCAAGUAUUUCGGGCGGUCCGGUCCGUACCUGUCGAUAAAAUUGCGAGUUCACUUGGGUAAGAAUUCACUGUUGACUAUUCCUAAAUGAAAGUGACGUCACUGUCCUGGAAGGAAUGAUCAUUUUUAAGAGUCUGUAAAGCAACAGGAGGAGAGCUUGAGAGAUCAAGCCCAAGCAUGGAAGAUUCCCAGCUCAUGCUUGUCCGUAAAUGGACAUAAACAGUUCAUUUUUUCCAUUCAUGAUGCUCCAUCUUAGAAUAACUUUUAAUAUAACACAAAAUUUGAUUCACUAAAUGUUGAUGUAGCUGUCAGUCCUUUGCUUGUUCACUUUUCUGAAAUGGUGCAAUCGAGUAGGCCAUAAGCUCGAGGCCACGAGAUAAAAAUAAAACAUCAAGUGAACUAAGCUACUAAGCACCGAAAACAAACAAGAGCGCUAGACGUUUAC
rnacentral:lncRNA from 1 species